rnacentral:tRNA from 1 species
UCUGGGGAUGUAGCUUAAUGGUACAGUACUUGCCUAGGAUGCACAAGGCCCUGGGUUUGAUUCCCCGGCUGCAGAA